rnacentral:lncRNA from 1 species
GCCUCUACAGGUAUUAUCAAAGAGAAGAUGAGAACCUUGAACUGAGAGGACCUCACAAGCCUGUAGUGAAGGAAGACCCUGUUGCCAAGAUGAGGUGCAGACGGUGGAGUUAAUCAUUCUCCUCAGUUCCUACUUGGUGAAUGUUUCAUGCAUCCGUGUGAAGAGAGUCCACCAAACAGGCUUUGUGUCUUUACCUCUCAACUGAACCCUGAACUCCUGGAGAAUAGAUGCUGUCGGGAAAUCACCAGCUUCUCACAAAGCAAUGAUCGUUGAAUAAAUCCUUGUUAAAUAAUGACAGUUUUCCUUUUUGGAUUGCUGUGAUCUCUACUCCCAUCACGACUGCUAAGCCUUGGGCAGGAGACCUUGUAUUCCCAGCCAGCUAUUCUUCCCACCGCCAUCCGUAGUUGGUCUCACUAUGUUGUGCAGGCUGGCCUCAAACUCCUGGGCUCAAGGGAUCUUCUCAUCUCAUCCUUCCAAAGGGCUGCGAUUACAAGUCUGUUUUAGGCACAUCUUGUAUCCCUCUUGCCUCAACUCUGGAAUUGGUUACCACUACUUCUGAACUGGGUGGCAGCUACAGACAGAGGUGGUAAGGGAGUAAUUGCUUAGGAUUGGACUGAGCUGAAGAAUGUUUAGCCUGGCGGUACUAGUGCAACUGGAAGAACAGAUGAACCAUAGUUUGCAACACAAAGCCAAGUCAACCAACAGAAGAAAUAUAUAUUUUAAGAAGAUUUUAUAUUUUCAACUGAAAACGUUCAUGUCAGUUGUGAAUGUAUUUGUAAUUGGCAGCCCCAAAUCAUCUCCCUUUUUAUUUUUGAGAAAGUGUAGUGUGCUUUAGUAUUUGGAACAUUCAUUUAAACCUAUUAAAUUAUAUUUUAAAAUGCACUGUUCCCAUUUCAAUCAAAAUUGGUUUUAUACUAUAUAUUGUAACACUAAAGUGCUUCUGGUAAUUUGCUUGUAAAACCAAAACUCUUUUAAAUUUAUCCACUUGUCCCUUUCAGAAAUGACGUGUUUGUGCAUAGGACUUGUUAGUAUUCUGAUUCAAACAAAACUACAGUACAUGUAAAAACAUAUUUAUAGAACAUAAAUAAGAAAAUGUGAACCCUGAAGAAUAUUUGAUGGAACUAAUGGACUAUUCUAAUUUUUAUGUGUGAAAAUGAUAAUGUGAUUUUUUAAAAGAGUCCUUCUUUUUUAGACAUGCACACUGAAAUAAUUAUAGAUGAAAUUAUGCAAUGUCUGUGAUUUGUUUCAAAAUAGUCUGGUGCUUAGGGAGAGAGAAGUGGGUGGGGAGAGAGAUGAAAUAAGCUUAGUUAUGAGUUGGUAAUUGUUGAAGCUGGGUCCUAUAUAUAUAUGGGGGUAAGGUCAUAUUCUAUUCUACUUUUGCAUAGAUUUGAAAUUUUUCAUAAUAAAAAGUUAAAAACAAAUCACACACCAAAAAAACUCCCAAACCCAACUGUCAUUAUUUAAUAACUUUGAACUUGGUAUGGACCUAAGAAGGCAUCUUUUACAAGGGAAAUGUGCAGUUCCAAGUCUUUUUCUUGAUGAUUGGGUCUGAAUGUGUUAAUCAAUGCUGCCCUGUCAUAGCCCCGACAUAGGGAAAAUGCUGAAAUGUGAUUUUUAAAUCAUAAAAAUGUGCCCAUAGUAAUAGCUCCAUCUUUUGCACAAUAUUUAAAUCAAUUCAUUGAUUUCCAGUUGCCUGAUAUUCUUAUUUCAGUAACAAAAUAAACGAUACAUAGUUCAGUAAAGUUGAAUCCAUUUGGGUUCAUUUGUGCUCGAAGUCUGAAGCCAAGUAAGAUCUGCUUCUUAGCUGCAUGUCAGGGGAUAAGGCAUCAGUCUCUUUGUAAGGCUUGGUUUCCUUUUUUUUCUUUUAUCGUACAGUUUCUAACCACGUUCAUGAAUAGAUAAAUUAAGGACAAAAUACAUCUAUAUCCCUCCUUGGCUCUUUGUUUAUUUGCAUAUACAGAAUUACUAAUAUAGUCCAUGUCUGUAAAUGUCUUAAAAAUGUCUCCAUUAAAAAAAUCCAGAAAAAUGAUACUUUUUGACUUCACAUUCCCCUUUUCCCUCUUUAUUUUUCUGUUUUUUUUUUUUUUUUUUUUAACGGCAAAACUCCUCAAAAGGGUUGUCUAUACUGGCUGUCUCCAGUUCCUUUCCUCAUAUUGUUUCUUGAAUUCUUUCCCAUAUUCUUUCUUUGACUUCAUGAGGGCUUUUGCCACCACCACCACCACCCUGUUCUUGUCAAGGUUGUUAAUGAUGUUCUUUUUGCAAAAUCUGAGUGUCAAUUCAUCCAUCUGACAUGACCGACCCGCAGCAUUUGACAUGGCUGAUCACCCCAUGCUUUCUGAUACACUUUUUCACUUUACUCUCAGAUAAUGGUAUUCUCCUGGUUUUUCUUCUCCUUCACUGGAAACUCUUUCUAGUGUUUUUUGCUGAUUCUUCCUUAUAUUCUUGAUUUAAGGCUCAGGUUCCAGUCUUUGAAAUCCUUCUUUUCCCUAUCUAUGCUUAGUAUCUUGCUAAUACCAUUUAAUCUCAACCCAGCUCUAAAUAUUAUACAAAAGCAGAUGUUCUCAAAUUUAUACCCAGCCCAGACCCCUUCCUGUGAAUUUCAGGCUCUUAUAUGAAACGACCCCCGUGGCCUUUUGGAUGUCAAAAAGGCAUCUCAAAAUUAACAUGUCUAAAAUUGAAUUAUUAGUCUUUCUAACCACCCCAAACCCUGUUGGCCUCCCUGCAGUCCACCUCAUCUAAGUGAAUGGCUGCUGCACAAUUCCUGUUGUUCAGGCCAAAUCCUUAAAGUCAUCCUCCCUCCUUUUUAUAACCCACAUUCGACCUUUGCACAAAUCCUGUUGUUUUUACCAUAAAAAUAUAUCUAGACUCUAUCUCUCACUGUCUCCAUUGUGAUCACCCUGCUUUCUCUACUGUAUUGUUUCAAAAGCCUCCCAGUUGGUCUUUCUAUCUUUCUUUUCUUUCUUUCUUUCUUUUUUUUUUUCUGAGACAGAGUUUUGCUCUUGUCGCCCAGGCUGGAAUGCAAUGGUGUGAUCUUAGCCCACUGCAACCUCUGCCUCCCAGGUUCAAGUGAGUCUCUUGCCUCAGCCUCCUGAAGUAGCCAGGAUUACAGUCAUCCGCCACCAUGCCCAGCUAAUCUUUUUUCUGUAUGUUUAGUUAAGACGGGGUUUCACCAUGUUGGCCAGACUAGUCUUGAAUUCCUGAUCUCAGGUGAUCCACCCGCCUCGGCCUCCCAAAGUGCUGGGAUUACAGGCGUGAGCCACCAUGCCCAGCCUGGUCUUUCUUUGUCUUUGCGGCUCAGCAGUCUAUUCUCCAUACAACAGCCAAAGUGGUUCUUUUUUUUUUUUUUUUUUAAAUUAUUAUACUUUAAGUUUUAG